rnacentral:tRNA from 1 species
GGUCCUGUAGCUCAGUCGGUCGGUUAGAGCGUGGUGCUAAUAACGCCAAGGUCGCGAGUUCGACCCUCGUCGGGACCA